rnacentral:lncRNA from 1 species
CUUUAUUGAGACCUUUCCUGGGUCAUAGAAAAGCAGCAAACCACGUGGUUUGGUACAAGGCAAAGGACGGAGGGAUGCAGGGCACCCCUCACCGCCGGGGCCCUCUUCUGGGCUUCGGGCCUCCCUGGUUAGCACAGCUGGGCCGCGUUCUUAGAGCAUACACCUGAGAGCUCAGCAUCAAGCUAAGCCAACCCGACAAGGAAACGACUGGGGGGACGAGGGUCAAGGUUCAGCGCCUGGGCCUCUGUCGCCCACAACCCCAAGGCCUCAUAUCCUCAGAGGCCAGGGUUCGAGCUCAGCUCCCGGAGGGUGCGCAGGCGGACAAAGCCCGCCCCCGGCCCGCAGGCCCCGCCCUCAGUACAGGUCCGAGAAAGGCUUGGAGUAGUUGAACAUCAGGUAAUCCAUGUAGUAGAAGUCGUAGGCGCGCUGCCGCUGCAGGGAGGACAGCUGGGCGAAGUAGCGACGGGUGAUGCUGGCCGUGGUCCUCGCCUCCUGGGAGUGCCUGUCCUUGAACCUGGGGAACGUCAGGUUCCCGGGCGCCUGGAUGAGGCGCAGGAAGAAGUUGGCAUCGCCCUCCAUGCUCUCGAACUUGCCCACGAAGUCGUAGUCGAUGAGGCAGGGGCUGCACAGCCGGCUCACGUGGUCCCAGUGGAUGUCCAUACCCACGGGCCGGUGAACGUCCAGCAGGUACUGGACGAACUCGGGGAAGCGCACGCCCGAGCCGGUCCGCAGCGCCUCCAGGGAGGCGUUGGCCCGGUAGCGGGCCAGGAUGGCCUUGCCGAAGACGGGAUGGUAGUAGCUGUUGGGGUGCUCGAACUUGUCCCGGAAAGCCGAGACCAGCCGCUCGAAGGGUUCGCGGACGAAGAGCAUCUUGGUGUAGGUGCUGAGGCGGUGCACGAUGCCCUGGCGGUCGAAGGUGUCCAGGCGCUUGAGGGCGCUGCCGUAGUGCACCGUGUUGUGCUGGAUGUCCGCGGUGGAGGAGGCCAGGCCCGCCAGCACCAUCAGCACCCGCUUCCAGUUGGAGCAGCCGGCUUUGGGCACCUCACAGUACAGCACGCGGUGGCGGUCCUCCACGAAGAUGCGCGACACGUGGCGGGGGGUGACGGCCCGGCGGCUGCUGCUGGCCCUGUACUUGGCGCAGGCCUCUCGCAUCACGCGCUUGCGCUCCUGCUGGGUCUGGUGCAGGCUGACCCAGCGGCUGUCCG